GACGAACGCUGGCGGCGUGCCUAAUACAUGCAAGUAGAACGCUGAAGGAGGAGCUUGCUUCUCUGGAUGAGUUGCGAACGGGUGAGUAACGCGUAGGUAACCUGCCUGGUAGCGGGGGAUAACUAUUGGAAACGAUAGCUAAUACCGCAUAAUAUUGACUAUUGCAUGAUAGUCAGUUGAAAGGUGCAACUGCACCACUACCAGAUGGACCUGCGUUGUAUUAGCUAGUUGGUGGGGUAACGGCUCACCAAGGCGACGAUACAUAGCCGACCUGAGAGGGUGAUCGGACACACUGGGCCUGGGACACGGCCCAGACUCCUACGGGAGGCAGCAGGCGGGAAUCUUCGGCAAUGGACGGAAGUCUGAACGAGCAACGCCGCGUGAGUGAAGAAGGUUGUCGGAUCGUGAAGAUCUGUUGUAAGAGAAGAACGAGGGUGAGAGUGGAAAGCUCACACUGUGACGGUAUCUGACCAGAAAGGGACGGCUAACUACGUG
rnacentral:rRNA from 1 species